AGAGUUUGAUCAUGGCUCAGGACGAACGCUGGCGGCGCGCUUAACACAUGCAAGUCGAGCGAGAACCAGCCCUUCGGGGCUGGGGACAGCGGCGAACGGGUGAGUAACACGUGAGUAAUCCACCCUCGGCAUCGGGAUAGCCCGGGGAAACCCGGAUUAAUACCGAAUGGCCCAUUCGCUCCUCGGAGAUGAAUGGAAAAGGUAGCUUCGGCCUCUGGCCGAGGACGAGCUCGCGGCGGAUUAGCUUGUUGGUGGGGUAACGGCCCACCAAGGCGACGAUCCGUAGCUGGUCUGAGAGGACGAUCAGCCACACUGGGACUGAGACACGGCCCAGACUCCUACGGGAGGCAGCAGUGGGGAAUCUUGCGCAAUGGGCGAAAGCCUGACGCAGCGACGCCGCGUGAGGGAAGAAGGCCUUCGGGUUGUAAACCUCUUUCAGGAGGGACGAAGCCACUCGGGUGAAUAGCCCAGAGGGUGACGGUACCUCCAGAAGAAGCCCCGGCUAACUACGUGCCAGCCGCCGCGGUAAUA
rnacentral:rRNA from 1 species